AGUGGAUGGGGAGCAACCUAGUUGUGAGUGCGGAAAGGUAGUGCCAAGAAAAGCUGUCAGAAUGAUGAGAAUUGAGUCCCGGUACCCGAAACCGACACAGGUAGGCAAGUAGAGAAUACUAAGGGGCGCGAGGUAACUCUCUCCAAGGAACUCGGCAAAAUGAUCCCGUAACUUAGGGAGAAGGGGUGCCACCGAGAGGUGGUCGCAGUGAAGAGGCCCAGGCGACUGUUUAGCAAAAACAUAGGUCUCUGCAAACUCGAAAGAGGAAGUAUAGGGGCUGACGCCUGCCCAGUGCCGGAAGGUUAAAGAAGUUGGUCAGGAGAAAUCUGAAGCUGGCGACUGAAGCCCCGGUGAACGGCGGCCGUAACUAUAACGGUCCUAAGGUAGCGAAAUUCCUUGUCGGGUAAGUUCCGACCCGCACGAAAGGCGUAACGAUCUGGGCGCUGUCUCGGAGAGAGGCUCGGCGAAAUAGGAUUGUCUGUGAAGAUACGGACUACCUGCAUUUGGACAGAAAGACCCUAUGAAGCUUUACUGUAGCUUGAAAUUGUGUUCGGGCUUCCUGUGCGCAGGAUAGGUGGGAGGCUAGGAAGGUCUGCUUGUGGGCAGAUUGGAGCCAACCGUGAGAUACCACUCUCAGGAGGCUAGAAUUCUAACUUAAUUAAGGACAGUUUCAGGUGGGCAGUUUGACUGGGGCGGUCGCCUCCAAAAAGGUAACGGAGGCGUACAAAGGUUCCCUCACACUGGUUGGAAAUCAGUGGCAGAGUGCAAAGGCAGAAGGGAGCUUGACUGCGAGACGGACAAGUCGAGCAGGGUGGAAACACGGUCUUAGUGAUCCGACGGUGCUGUGUGGAAGGGCCGUCGCUCAACGGAUAAAAGUUACUCUAGGAUAACAGGCUGAUCUCCCCCAAGAGUUCACAUCGACGGGGAGGUUUGGCACCUCGAUGUCGGCUCAUCGCAACCUGGGGCGGAAGUACGUCCCAAGGGUUGGGCUGUUCGCCCAUUAAAGCGGUACGUGAGCUGGGUCCAGAACGUCGUGAGACAGUUCGGUCCAUAUCCGAUGUAGGCGUGAGAAUAUUGAGAGGAGCCUUCCUUAGUACGAGAGGACCGGGAAGGACGCACCGCUGGUGUACCUGUUAUGAUGCCAAUCGUAAACGCAGGGUAGCCAAGUGCGGAGAGGAUAACCGCUGAAAGCAUCUAAGUGGGAAGCCCACCUCAAGAUGAGUAUUCUGGUGUAAGGUCACGGGGAGACGACCCGUAGAUAGGCACGAGGUGGAAGUGCAGAGAUGUAUGAAGCCGAAGUGUACUAAUAGACCGUCGGCUUGAUC
rnacentral:rRNA from 1 species